rnacentral:lncRNA from 1 species
AGUGCCACGUGUAAUGAUAAGUGACAGGGGAACACAUUUCUGUAAUCGGGUUGUGGCAACCCCCUUUAAAAAGUACCAUCGAUCACUUUAACUGAAAUCGGGUUCUCGAUCACUCUAACUAAAAUUUUCUUCCUCGUUUACAGGUUGUCGAAGAAACCACGCAAGACCACUGGAUCAGAAGGUUAUAAAGACCACAUUAGCCUUGCUUAAGGCAAAGAGCAGCGACCCAAUCAUUGCUUAAAGCCUAUAGCAACAAGUCAAACCUUGCCAAAGGGUUAGCAUAUGCCUCACCAAAGGGUUAAUAACUUCACAGCCUUUUCUCGGAUUGGAU